rnacentral:rRNA from 1 species
UUAAGCGACUAAGCGUACACGGUGGAUGCCCUGGCAGUCAGAGGCGAUGAAGGACGUGCUAAUCUGCGAUAAGCGUCGGUAAGGUGAUAUGAACCGUUAUAACCGGCGAUUUCCGAAUGGGGAAACCCAGUGUGAUUCGUCACACUAUCAUUAACUGAAUCCAUAGGUUAAUGAGGCGAACCGGGGGAACUGAAACAUCUAAGUACCCCGAGGAAAAGAAAUCAACCGAGAUUCCC